rnacentral:rRNA from 1 species
GACGUAGGGGGCCAGCGUUGUUCGGAAUUACUGGGUGUAAAGGGUUCGUAGGCGGUGCGGCAAGUCGGGAGUGAAAUCUCUGGGCUUAACCCAGAGGCUGCUUCCGAAACUGCUGUGCUUGAGUGUGGGAGAGGCGCGUGGAAUUGCAGGUGUAGCGGUGAAAUGCGUAGAUAUCUGCAGGAACACCCGUGGCGAAAGCGGCGCGCUGGACCACUACUGACGCUGAGGAACGAAAAGCUAGGGGGAGCAAACAGG